rnacentral:rRNA from 1 species
GGAGUCUGGUCCGUGUCUCAGUACCAGUGUGGGGGAUAAGCCUCUCAGCUCCCCUAGACAUCGUCGGCUUGGUGGGCCGUUGCCCCGCCAACUACCUAAUGUCACGCAUGCCCAUCCACUACCACCGUAGCUUUAGUCACCAAACCAUGCGAUUCGGUGACUCCAUGGGAUAUUAGUGGAAGUUUCCCUCCGUUAUCCCCCUGUAGUGGUAGGUUGCAUACGCGUUACGCACCCGUGCGCCGGUCGCCAUCAAAGUUUGCAAGCAAACUUCAUGAUGCCCCUCGACUUGCAUGUGUUAAGCCUGUAGCUAGCGUUCAUC